rnacentral:piRNA from 1 species
CUAUGCUUAAGCAAUAGGUCGCUGG